rnacentral:rRNA from 1 species
UACGUAGGGGGCUAGCGUUGUCCGGAUUUAUUGGGCGUAAAGAGCGUGUAGGCGGUCAGGUAGGUCCGCUGUGAAAGUCCGAGGCUCAACCUCGGAAUGUCGGCGGAAACCCUCUGGCUAGAGUCCGGAAGAGGAGAGUGGAAUUCCCGGUGUAGCGGUGAAAUGCGCAGAUAUCGGGAAGAACACCCGUGGCGAAGGCGGCUCUCUGGAACGGUACUGACGCUGAGACGCGAAAGCGUGGGGAGCGAACAGG